UACGUAGGCAGCAAGCGUUUGUUCGGAAUAGCUGGGCGUAAAGAGUGUGUAGGCGGUGCUCUAAGUCUGUUGUGAAAUCUCCCGGCUUAACUGGGAGGGUGCGGCGGAAACUGGAGUGCUCGAGUGUGGGAGAGGUAAGCGGAAUUCCUGGAUGUAGCGGUGAAAUGCGUAGAUAUCAGGAGGAACACCUGUGGUGUAGACAGCUUACUGGACCACGACUGCGCUGAGACACGAAAGCGUGGGUAGCAAACAGG
rnacentral:rRNA from 1 species